CUGAAUAAGCAGGAGAAAAAUAUUCACAGAUCACACAGUGAAACAUGCUGAAGGGUGCAAAGAUUACUCUAAUUAAUUUUUAUGAAGUGCAGCAACAACGAUAAGAUUUCUUUCAAAAACACUAGGCUCCUCUGUGUGGUUUUCCACUUUAUACCCAUUGACGCCAGUGAUGGAAAGCAAUAAAAUCCGUCCUUAGGCUAAUGGCCUCUGUUUACUUUGGGUGUCUUCUGUGUUCUUCACAGUGUCAGCGCCAAAAGGGAAUUAUAGCCAAAAGUACUGUGAGCCAUUUUGCAGUUAGUCAACAGGAAAGAUCUGCAGACUUCAUGAUAGCAUCGUGACUACAUAAAAUUUACUUCUUUUUAGCCUGAAGGCUUUGCUAAAGGAAUGGUCUGGAUUACAAGAGCUUGCUGAAGGGGCCAUGGCAAGUUGUUGGACCUUUGAUACAUUUAGACAAGUGAACAUUUGAAGGAAUACCUGCAGAAAAAAAGGAAAGAGGAAAAGUGUGCAGCGAAUGAAUUUGCCUCCUGCACUCAAACAACAACAUCCGUUACUAUACACGAUAAGUCUGAUAUCCUUAAAUGGAAGAUGCCCUUCCUUCUGGAUUACAAGAAACUGCUGAACCUUCGUGCUAUCAGUACAUCUUGUUUGCGAAUGUUACUGUAAGUUGCUUUUCAUAGGGAUCGAUAUGUUCUUUGCAUAAGUGAGCUCUUUUGCGUAAGUCGAAAUUAGCGCAAUAACUCAUGGUUGUUACUAAUCAGAGAUGAGCUGUUCGGUACUAAUCUGAACUGCUGAUGAGUUUCAGCAUUAUGUACUCUAUUAAUUCAGUAAAGCCGGUAAAAGCAUUAGGAGGAGAGCCUGAAACAUAAACAGCAGGAUGGACUGCCACUGUUUCCUUUAGCAGAUUUGUAUUUCUUAUCAAUUUCCUGUCUUGUGCUAUCUGAUCCCUUACUAUUGAGAUCUAUUAUACUGGUAACACUGUGCAAUGGACUGCCGAGCAGGGAGCAGCUCAGCAGGCUAAAGCUUGUAAUAGCCAUGGGGGAAAAAAUCAUUACAUUAGAACCAUUAAGGAGAUUAUUCAUUAAUGAACAGGAUUCAACAGGAGAUUCUGCUGAAAUUACACCAACAUUAAACCAAAUAAAGUAUAUAACUGUCACUGACAAUUUGCAUGUAAAAAAUUACAUUCGGUGCUAAAUGUGUGUCUGGAAACGCUCUAAAGGAAUGUGUUGUAACCACUUUCUGUUGCCUCCAUUUGUGAUUUGGAAUAAUGUCAGAUUUACUUAUUUUUCUUUGGUGUUUCAGCGCUUUCACUUUGGGUGAGGGAAUUGUGGGAAAAUAAAU